rnacentral:rRNA from 1 species
GGGUCCGGACACACUGAGGAUUGACAGGCAAUAUUAAUACGUGUUUCGGCGCGUAUUAUGCUAAAUAUGCUAGUCCUUUCAUGAUUAUGUGAUAGGUGGUGCAUGGCCGUUCUUAGUUCGUGGAGUGAUCUGUCUGCUUAAUUGCGUUUCACUAAGAGUCUAUCAAUACGUGCGUUGCGGCACUUUGACCCCUCUCUGAGCGCGCGUCUUAGUUGCUUAGCUCGCACAAUUAGGCUCUGAAAGCAACGAACGUGACCGCAACCUCUUGUUGCCUUUAUACCAAACAUUUUUGCUGUUCUCAGCAUUAAUGCAAAAAGGCUUUUUAAACUAGAGGGACCGCUGUUACUUUCUUAAACCAGAGGAAGGUUGCGGCAAUAACAGGUCUGUGAUGCCCUUAGAUGUUCCGGGCUGCACACGUGCUACAAUGAUUGUUGCAGUGAGCAUCUCAUUUUUAUACACCGCAUGCGCGAGUCCGUUUAUUCACUUCGGUGUUUUAAACGUGUAUUUCUGCGCGCGGUAAAGCCUGCUUCGAGAGUAAGUGGGU